GGAUAAGCCGGAGGCAACUUCGGUGAAAGGUAUGGAUCUCCUGACGGUCCUUACCCCUUGUAGAGGUGCUUGCACCGAAGCGAGGCAGAAAGUCACCCACUCUGGCAAACGGGUUCGCGCCCGGAUGUUACGCGAAUACAGAGUGUGGCGAUUAGCCCAAGGCGAUAGAAACUGAGGGCAAAUCGAGUUAGCGGACCGAGACGGUUUCGGUAUUGGUCCAAACAUGGUGCCCUCCCGGAGAGGGUAUAAUUGCUACCAUGAGUCAGGAAAUCGCGGACAGGAGGCCGACACUAUCGCACAGGUGAAAGCAACUUCCGAGGUUUAGGGGUGUAAUGAUCCGGCAAAUCGCGAAGCCCCAAGCGCUGCUCCAAAUAAGAGUAACGACCGUGAAGAGAAGCAAUUUGAGAGGUAAGAGGUCAGACCCGUAACUUCGGGCAAACGCUCCCUACCCGGGGAGGCCGACCCGAAGGAAAGAGGUGUUUAGGUGAAACAAAUACGGAUAGCCUGAAUAUCAUGUCUGGGGCAUCGAGAUCGCAAGUCACGGUGUAACAGGCUGAGAGGCCUCACUCAAUAUCUUGGUCGGGUAACCGGUCAAGCGGUCCUGCUACGAGAUCGACAGCUUCCUUGCCAGGAAGAAUAGCGUCGGGGAGCUGACAGCCUGUGAAAGCAGUGCGCCUAAUGUCAGUAUAGGACGAGAGCGUGGCGAACUCC
rnacentral:sRNA from 12 species